UGGGGAAUAUUGCACAAUGGGCGAAAGCCUGAUGCAGCAACGCCGCGUGAGCGAAGAAGACCUUUGGGUCGUAAAGCUCUGUCGGGAAGGAAGAUAAUGACGGUACUUCCCGAGGAAGCCCCGGCUAACUACGUGCCAGCAGCCGCGGUAAUACGUAGGGGGCGAACGUUAUCCGGAAUUAUUGGGCGUAAAGAGUGCGUAGGUGGUUGUUUAAGCGUGGGGUGAAAGGCAAUGGCUUAACCAUUGUGAGCCCCGCGAACUGGGCGACUUGAGUGCAGGAGAGGAAAGCGGAAUUCCUAGUGUAGCGGUGAAAUGCGUAGAUAUUAGGAGGAACACCAGUGGCGAAGGCGGCUUUCUGGACUGUAACUGACACUGAGGCACGAAAGCGUGGGGAGCAAACAGG
rnacentral:rRNA from 2 species